UUAGAUUAAAACCAAUCGGGUUUCGGCCCGUCAGUUGGUGACUCUGAAUAACUAUUGCUGAUCGCAUGGUCUCGAACCGGCGACGUGUCUAUCAAGUGUCUGCCUUAUCAACUGUCGAUGGUAGUUUAUGUGCCUACCAUGGUUGUAACGGGUAACGGAGAAUAAGGGUUCGACUCCGGAGAGGGAGCCUGAGAAACGGCUACCACAUCCAAGGAAGGCAGCAGGCGCGCAAAUUACCCACUCUCGGCAUGAGGAGGUAGUGACGAAAAAUAACGAGACCGUUCUCUUUGAGGCCGGUUAUCGGAAUGGGUACAAUUUAAACCCGUUAACGAGGAUCUAUGAGAGGGCAAGUCUGGUGCCAGCAGCCGCGGUAAUUCCAGCUCUCAAAGUGUAUAUCGUCAUUGCUGCGGUUAAAAAGCUCGUAGUUGGAUCUGCGCCUCAGGACCUGGUCCGCCCACUGGGCGAGAACUGGGCUCCUGGGCUAGUUCGGCUGGUUUUCCCUACGUUGCCUUCAUCGGUCGCGUAGGGUGGCUAGCGAGUUUACUUUGAAAAAAUUAGAGUGCUUCACGCGGGCUUAUGUCUGAAUACUCGUGCAUGGAAUAAUAGAAUAGGAUCUCGGCUCUAUUUUGUUGGUUUUCUGAUCUGAGAUAAUGGUUAAGAGGGACGGACGGGGGCAUUCGUAUCGCUGCGUGAGAGGUGAAAUUCUUGGACCGUAGCGAGACGCCCGACUGCGAAAGCAUUUGCCAAGAAUGUCUUCAUUAAUCAAGAACGAA
rnacentral:rRNA from 1 species